GUAGGUGAACCUGCGGAAGGAUCAUUACUCUUAGCUUAAGUUCUUGUAACUUAUUGCUAUACUCUAAACACCAAACCGUGCUCUUUUUUUCCCACCCCACUCUUAUACCAUCCAUUCUAUUAACUGAACACAUUGUGCAUAGGAUGGUCCCUAACAAGACUCAUCCGACACACAUCUGUACACCCCAUCUCAUCUAGACGUAUUCGUUUACGCCUUUAUGUGCUGUGAUGUACUUGUUGAACCACAGUACAGGGAUCAGUUUAACUACUGUAUCUCUUUACACGUGAAUACAACUCCGAACAAUGGAUAUCUCGGCUCUC
rnacentral:misc_RNA from 1 species